AUUGAACGCUGGCGGAAUGCUUUACACAUGCAAGUCGAACGGCAGCACGGGGGCAACCCUGGUGGCGAGUGGCGAACGGGUGAGUAAUACAUCGGAACGUGCCCAGUCGUGGGGGAUAACGUAGCGAAAGUUACGCUAAUACCGCGUACGAUCUACGGAUGAAAGCGGGGGACCGUAAGGCCUCGCGCGAUUGGAGCGGCCGAUGUCAGAUUAGGUAGUUGGUGAGGUAAAGGCUCACCAAGCCAACGAUCUGUAGCUGGUCUGAGAGGACGCCCAGCCACACGGGGACUGAGACACGGCCCAGACUCCUACGGGAGGCAGCAGUGGGGAAUUUUGGACAAUGGGCGCAAGCCUGAUCCAGCCAUUCCGCGUGCAGGACGAAGGCCUUCGGGUUGUAAACUGCUUUUGUACGGAACGAAAAGGCUCUGGUUAAUACCUGGGGCUCAUGACGGUACCGUAAGAAUAAGCACCGGCUAACUACGUGCCAGCCGCCGCGGUAA
rnacentral:rRNA from 1 species